UGCAGGACCAGGCACGUAACCGUUUGGAGACUGUCUGGAGUCUGUCUGAAAUAGAUAAAAUUGAAAAUGGACUUUUAGAUAUUUGUGUUCAUUUACAAGGAAGCCGCCUGUUGGAAAAUGGGAUCUUUGCUCUCCUCCUCGAGCGCCUUCGCCCACCAGUCGCCACGCUCUGGCAAAAAUGUAGAUUUUUUUUCUAGAUAAACGUUGUGAAAGUUUUUUCUUCUGCAGUCUAUCAGGAGACAGCUCUUUAUGCACAGGGAAUCACCCUUUAGCCCUGGAGUUCAAGAGGAGUGCACCAUCCAGAAGGCAGCCUACAAGAGCACAGAAAGGCCUGUCCCUAACCUGAACCAGUGUCUGACAAAAAAUGAUUGGAAAUGCAAUUAGAAAGGAGAGCCCUGGUUUCUUGAAGUCUGUCAUGCCUUCAUAUGUUUGACCCUGAAGUGUACCCGCCCAAAUGGAUUGUCUUAUACGUCACCAGCGCUCAGUACUAUGGAGUACUACAAAAGGUGACGCGCAGAAGGAGGAUUUGUGAAUGGACGCCGUGAUGUGUGCCAGCUCACAGAUCAGAGGGCGGUGGGCCCUCUGCAGAUGCACCCCCUCCAUCACACCACCCCUCCCUCCAGAUGAAUGGGGGUCUCUAAUAUCAGCUCUGUCACCAUUGCAGGGGUCUAACCAAAUCCUCCAGCUUCCUGUGCCUUUCAAAACCUAAAAGCACCUCUCUUCUAUUUGAUGAUCCUGUAUGAUUUUUUUCUUUCUUUUUUCUCUUUUCUUUUUCAUUGUCGUGGUUUUGUGGGCCUAGAAGCUCGCUGCCCACUCUUUUAUUAUGGGCCAAGAGCAUGGCAGCCGAAUUAGACUAGAUUAGAAAGCUGGCCGAGCUGCAUUUAGUGGGCAAUACAAAAAGUCAAUCAGUUUUAGAAGUGUGGUUCAUCGGAAUAUAAAAUAGGUUAGAGGGACUUGACACCAGUAUCUAUUUUUUCAUUGUUUCCCCGGAAUUUUCCAGAAUCGGUCUUCGCAGUGUUUCAGAUAUAACCAUAACAGGAUAAAUCCCAAAGAAAAGAAACACAUGGAUAAGAAACAAAAGCAGUUUUUUGGUAUCUGACAUCGAUACAUGGAUACAAUUGUAGUAAUAGUCUUUACAAAACUGCCUUCUUGGGCUGAAAUACUGUAGGUGUUCCUCCAAGUUUACAUUGUUAGAUUUUUAAAGCAAAAUCAUGCUCAGGUGGUGUUUCUCUAAAUCCGUUUGAUUAAUUUUAUGCUCCCUUUUUCCAGUGGAAAAAGCGCAGUAUAUAAUUUCCACAGCUGCUUAUUCAUCACAGGUUCUAUGUAGAUGAUGUCUAUAUAAUUUUUCUUCCCGUGGUUUGAUUGUGUUUACAGAGAAAUCCUCUAGAGUCGCCACGUAGCGGACUUUGGGGCUGCUGAAUCUUCUGCUUUCAGCCCUUUAUAGGUUUUAAUAACUCUUAAUCCGUCUGAUCAGUCUGGCGUAGAUAAGUCUCAUUUGAAUUUGGAUUGUUCUUAAGAGGCGGGUCGUAUUUCUCCACAGAAGUCUACAGAGCUUAGCACAAACAACCGCACCACCCUGAGCGCAAUUAAGGCUUCAGCUAAAUUAGAUGAAGGGUAAUUGAAUGCAGCUGACUUCCCAUCAGCAAACUCUUGAAUUAAUACAAUGAAUAAUACCAGUUGAUGGUCACUGAUCAUUAUUAUUAUUAUUUUAUCUGUAUUUUUAGGGUAAAAAGUGAAAAAGUGCAUUUUCUUUUAGACACGAAGCAGCAUCACUCCAAUCUUUAUUUGCAUCAUUUUAGAGAGGAAAAAUAGGCAAAACUUUUCUUCUUUUCAAGUUUUCUCUUUGCGCAUAAGAGACACAGAUUUGGAGAACCUAGCUGUGGUGCAUACUGUGUGGGUUGUAGACAUAGAAAGCUUAUAUCUUUGACAAAUCAAAUUUCUGUUCUUGCCAAUCAGUGCCACUCUGGAUUGUUUUGCAACUAUUUAACUGUUUUCUGAGGGGAGGGGGAAAAGAAAACUGCUUAUGCUUACUGUGAUUCAAAGUCGUUGUUUUUUUUUUCUUUACAAGAGAGAGAAAUAACAUAAUUCUGAUCCGGAGAUUAAGGUUUAAAGGAGAAAAUUAGAUUUUAAAAUAUAAAUUUAAGGACAACCAAAAUCUAUAGCGAACAGAACAACCAUCUCUAAGAAUGAAAAAAUAAUGCAACAGAUAUAUAAAGUGCAGCAACAGGAAUAAAAGUUUGAACAGAAAAUCCUUUCCUUACAGCGGCUGCAAGAAAAAAAAAAUCUUCAUGCAUUAAAAAAAAGGAUUGCGCACCUUCUUUCUUCUAUUUUGAAAUAACUCAGAGAUACUGUUAAUGACCCAUAGUGCCUCAUUAACAGCCAUAAAAGAUUUUAAAGUGGUUUUAAAGGUUUUAAGGUGAAAAAAGAAACUUCACUAUGCACGCAACUCUCGCUUUGUAUCCCGUUAAAGAUCAGAAUUUCCUUUUUCUAGUGUGCUUUUGUACUUAUAUACACAUCAGAAAAUAACACUGUAAAGAUCCUCAUAUCUUUAAUAAUAACUGGCUAUUUUUCACAGAGUGUAAAAGCCUCUAAGGGUCCGCUCUGUAAUCCUGUAGGUACAUAAAGCGCACAGUUAUCUGCGUGACGCUCAACUGGUGUCAGGCCCACAGAGCUCUUCUCCUACUGUAGUUUUGUGGCUGGUCUGCGGGACUUUUCACGUGUCGGGACGUCUUACUUCGGACAGCAAAGAAUGAACUGCACGUGGUGGCUAUUUCUGUAAGGUUAAUGGGUUUACAUUCUCAGUCAUACAGAACAAAUAGGCUAUGGUGUGGGUGGGGGUGGACAGGUUCAGUUUGAGAGGGACCAGAGGGGGGGGGCAUUUAUGAAUGAAAAUGUGCCGCCAAACAGACCUCAAAGCAAAGCCAGUGUAAUGUAAAAAAGAAGAAGAAGAAGGAAGUAGUGUGUACCUUAUGUUCAAUCAGCUCAGCUCGCUGGCCCCUAAAGUUUUUUGGGGUCCUUGAUUCCCCUGUGUGGGCCAUCCGGGAAGCUUUGCGGUUUUUGGAUUGUCCGCAUGCCUCGUGCACCUGUCUGUUGCGGGGAAGCAAGGAACAAGUGGGACAAAGACAGGUGGAAAUCACUUGCUGAAACUCAUAUUUGUUCUUUGUCGUUAUAUGAGCUUAUUAAAUUUUAUUAGAAGAACCUCACGUCCGCAGGAAGUGCAGUUAAACGUGUGAUCGUUUAACUGCAUAACCAAAUCUGUAACUUUUAUUUCCUUUAAAACGACGAAGAGGAGAAAUUCCUCUUAAAUUAUGGCAAAAUCUAUACAUAUAUAUUUAAAAAAUAAUAAUAGUACAAAUCGUAUUCGCGUUUAUGUUAAGCUGAAAGUAGAUUUACCCCAGCCAGUUCGGAUUUUGCGUCCGGGCAGUUACAAACGCCAAACCCACAAGUUAGAUGUAAUCAUAUCCCAUCACAGAGAUUUUAAAGUUACACAUUUAGUGCGAGUGGUAAAUGCUAAGGGAUUAAAUCAAGCAUCGGCAUCAGUGCUUCUUCAUUUGUUCAUACCGAGGCUCUUAAUUGCGAGAUACAAUUUAAGUUAUGUCCCCGCGUCCAGCAACUUUAAUUAUAGUGGAAGGAGGUCAGUCAUAAGCGGAUAUUUGACCCGGCUCCUUGUGUGGCAUCGCGCCCUUUACCGUUAAAGUCGCCAAAAUAGUUCUGGACUCCGCUGUAUUUACCAUGUGCACCCCGUCCCAUCCAGUGCACCUGAGUUGUUUUUACCCCCCAGUAACUUAUAUGUUGUGAAUUUGUCACCUACCAGGAGAGGGGCUCGUUAAAGGACAUUUUAGACGCAAGAACUUUCCCACAUGGGUUUAGCCUGCCAACUUUGUGCAUUUCUCCGGAGCGAAGUGGAUAGACUGCAAUCCUGUUGCUUGAAUUAUGCUUACGCGUACUAAUGAACACUAAUUAAAACAUGACAAACAUCGACCUUUAGUGCAUCCUAAGUAGGGCUGCAAGCGUGUCUUAGAUUACUGGUAUAUGGAAAUGAAGUCUGUUAGCCUAUUUGACAAUAUACACACGGGCGACAUACAGUAAGACAUAAGCAGACUGUCCGCAUUAGUUGUAAAAUCACGCAAACGUAAGGGCUUAUAUAUAUGUAUAUAUGUUUUAAUAUUGUAAAAUUUUAAACGUGCUUCAUUGAUACAGCUAAUGGCCACAAGCAGCUAAUCUUCUUGAAUCUCAAAUCCACAUUUUAUUUUUAAAUGAAUCUCCUACUAUUUAAUUCUUUUUUCUUUCUUUUUCUUUCAGAAAACUAAAGAAUACACACGGAUAUUGACCUGUGGUGUAAAUUUUAGCCUUCUCUCUGUUCGUGAGAUGUUGUUGUCUGCCUCCCAGGAUAGAUCUCGCAAUGGAAAUGCUCACCUUGAUUUAUUCCAUUACCUUUUAUUCAGCUGUUAUUAUUAUUAUUAUUAUUAUUAUUAUUAUUAUUACCCUGGUCGAUUUACAGAGUCUGAUCUGGGCGCUAGGAUGCACUGGGUGUGUUUAAUUUACACUGGGAAGGAUUUGUUUGGAUGGCAUGCAUAAUGUGCCAUCACCUGAGGUUUAUGCUGUCAUUUUAUUAUUGUCCUGCGGUGGAAGAAAAGGAAUCAACUGGAAUGGCACACAAGGCUGAGCAUGUUGACUGAACUGAUAAAUCUCACACGACACAAACACUUCUAAUGAUGAUUCUGUAUCAGUCUGUUUAAUGUUUUUAAGCGUUCAUACUUUUAUUUGUUUGGGGUUUUUUCCCCCGUGAUUUUACCCAGAGCACUGGAGGAACUGCGACCAAAAAGAGAAUCACAGCCACUUAAAGGGAGAAAAGGUGUGAAUGGAUCAUUUCACCCUCAGAGAGGAAUACGCAGAGAAGGCAGAGAGCAGCCCGAGACUGCCAUUUGAAUGGAUCUGAGAGGUAAUUUGAGCUAAAAUGGAGUCCACUUCUGAGCCACUCACUCAGCCCCCCCAUGGCAUCCACUGUAAUUCAUUAUUCCUGGCCGGCACUGGGAGAGGCAAUGAGCGAGGGCAGAGGACAGGAGUGGACCCAGCUCUGGUGUAAUGAAGACUCAGUAGACCUAAACCAGUCUCGCACACACUCGCACACGCACUUGCACACACAAAAUCUUUCAUUAUAUUUCAGAGAGAGCAGGACAUUAAUGCCACUGAAGACCUUUUGGCAGAGAAAAAAAGUGCAAUGAUUUUCUCCACACUCAAUCCAUUUCAUUGACCUUUUCUAUCAUGCAUGUGACUCUGCCCGCUCACUGCACUGUGAGAUAAAUAUUCCAAGGAUAAUAUUCCUCUGCUGUUUUAAUAAAUUAUCUUUCUGAAUCCAAAGUUUUAAGAGGCUUUAAGGAGAAUAUGAGCGUAUUUGUAAUUACUUUUACUUUUAAUUGCCUUUACUUUUCUUCAUGCGCUGUGUUUUCUUGCUUUCUCAGAUCGCAACACUCCGGUUGUUUUUUGUUCGACUCCUCUGAAGACUUGUUUUUUCUACAUUUCCAUACAAGUAGUUAGGUGAAAACCUCUACAUAGAUGAGGCCCUUCCAGACCUUCCUGUUCCUUGUCCUUCCACUAGGGGUCUAUAGAUGUCCUGUCCAGACAAGCGGAUAAAUACUGUCAUCUGGUGGUAACAAAAGCCAUCACUACUGGGUAAUCUGGUACUAUACUGCAUGUUUUCUUUCCCCAGAAUAUAUGCAUCUUAAUAUCUUUAUCCACUACCACACCACAACGCGGUACUUUACAAUACAUUUAGUCUUUUUAAACAACAAAACUAAUGAAGUAGUCAAGAUUUCAUUUGUCUUUGUCCUGGAUGAAACAAACAGAAGUUUAGUGCCACAGGUGGAGCAUGAAAUAAAGCAAACAGUGCCUGUGUAACAGCAGCUCACAGAUUUUAAAUGUGUGUGACAGCCCAGGUGAGAUGACAGGCGCUCCCCCAGACGGGUUUACCGCAGAGACGCGUGUUCAAAGCGAGGCAGGCCACCAGCGUUCAGUGAAGACAAAGUCAGAAGUUAUAGAGGAGAGAAGUUCAGCAUUCAAAUGUUUAGAUAGGAAAAGAAAGAAUAAACGUGAAAGUAGCUGAUGGUUUCAUUACAUUUUUUUAGAUUGUAGAUGCAGAUGCAUUAGUGUGAGACUAGUUUUUCUACUAAGACAAAUCUGAAUGCUUGCAAGACUGGGGUAAGAAAGUGAUGACAAGAAAGUUUUACUACAAAUUAUGCACCGAGUUAUGAACAUUUUGUUUCUUGUUAAGUCUGCACAGCUGUUUAAGUGAAAAGAUUAAUAAAGGAAACGUUUAUUUUGAUGGGUGGAUCUGCUGAAAAUGGUCACAAUCCCAUAAGAUCUGUACCUGUUGGUUUAAUGGUUUUUAAUGUAUUUUAUAAUUAUGCCUUACGUGCACCAUUGUGAUAUGUAAAGUCUUCAGCUGUUGCAUACAUUUAGAAGUUCCAGCAAUUCACUAAUACACAUAUUUAAAAUAAUAAUUUGGCCAAAUUUAGUCUUUUCAGAUACAAAUAGAAGAGCUGUAAAAAUUGUAAACAUCUUCUGGUGACACUGUAAAUGCCAUCCUGUUUGCAAACUGUCCAAUGGUGUAUUCCUGAAAUGCAAUACAGUGAAAGGAACAAAACCAAAUCUGAAAUAUAAUCCAGAUGAAGUGUAAAGUAGCACAAAAUAGUAAUACUCACUGCCUUCUACACUGUUGAGGGGCAGUAAACGAAAGAGAGCAAAUCUAAAGAAGCAGUUUAGUAUAGGAUUGCAUCUUCUUUCUCAGUACACAUCUGAACUCCACCUUUUUUCCCUUGAAAAAAUUAGUUUUUGAAAUAUUGCCUCAAAAAAACUCUCAAAGGCAAAUAUAUUCAAAAGUGCCAACACCACUAGAGUUGCUCUGAAUUCCUGAAGCCUUUUUCGAGUUUGAGCUGCUUUUUUUUUUUUUUUAUCUCCUAAGAACUCAUUAAAGUGAGAAACUAAGAAAUACUAUAAAAUUACAGAACCACACAGUGCAGCAAAGAACUAAAAUGGUAAAUGGCCUGUAUUUGUAUAGCGCUUUACUAGUUCCUAAAGACCCCAAAGCGCUUUACACAUCCAGU